GACGAACGCUGGCGGCGUGCUUAACACAUGCAAGUCGAACGGAAAGGCCCCUUUUGGGGUACUCGCUUGGCGAACGGGUGAGUAACACGUGAGUAACCUGCCCUUGACUUCGGGAUAACUUCAUUCAACUGGGGCUAAUACCUGCUAGGAAUCCUUGCUGCAUGGUGGGGGUUGGAAAGCUUCGGCGGUUUUGGAUGGACUCGCGGCUUAUCAGCUUGUUGGUGGGGUAGUGGCUUACCAAGGCUUUGACGGGUAGCCGGCCUGGGAGGGCGACCGGCCACAUUGGGGCCGAGAUACGGCCCAGACUCCUACGGGAGGCAGCAGGGGGGAAUAUUGGACCAUGGGCGGAAGCCUGAUGCAGCAAAGCCGCGGGCGGGAUGACGGGCUUUGGGUUGUAAACCGCUUUCAGCAGGGGCGAAGCUUGUGGUGACGGUACCUGCAGAAGAAGCACCGGCUAACUACGUG
rnacentral:rRNA from 1 species